UACGUAAGGGUGCAACGUUAGCGUGAAUUAUUGGGCGUAAAGCGCACGUAGGCGGCCAACUAAGUCGGAUGUGAAAUCCCCAGGCUCAACCUGGGAACUGCAUCCGAUACUGGAUGGCUUGAAUUCGGGAGAGGGAUGCAGAAUUCCAGGUGUAGCGGUGAAAUGCGUAGAUAUCUGGAGGAAUACCGGUGGCGAAGGCGGCAUCCUGGACCGACAUUGACGCUGAGGAGCGAAAGCCAGGGGAGCAAACGGG
rnacentral:rRNA from 1 species